CAGUAGCCGCGGUAAUACGAAGGGUGCAAGCGUUACUCGGAAUUACUGGGCGUAAAGCGUGCGUAGGUGGUUUGGCAAGUUUGGUGUGAAAUCUUCGGGCUCAACUCGAAGUCUGCAUCGAAAACUGCCGGGCUUGAGUAUGGGAGAGGUGAGUGGAAUUUCCGGUGUAGCGGUGAAAUGCGUAGAUAUCGGAAGGAACACCUGUGGCGAAAGCGGCUCACUGGACCAUAACUGACGCUGAUGCACGAAAGCUAGGGGAGCAAACAGGAUUAGAUACCCCCGUAGUCCCUGUCUCUUAUAC
rnacentral:rRNA from 1 species